rnacentral:rRNA from 1 species
UACGGGGGGGGCAAGCGUUGUUCGGAAUUACUGGGCGUAAAGGGCUCGUAGGCGGCCAACUAAGUCAGACGUGAAAUCCCUCGGCUUAACCGGGGAACUGCGUCUGAUACUGGAUGGCUUGAGUUUGGGAGAGGGAUGCGGAAUUCCAGGUGUAGCGGUGAAAUGCGUAGAUAUUGGGAGGAACACCAGUGGCGAAGGCGGCUACCUGGACCGGAACUGACGCUGAUGCGCGAAAGCGUGGGGAGCAAACAGG